AGGUCGGACAGAUUAUAUCAAGAGGCCUUUUUUCCCCCCAUAAAGCGGGUGAAUUGGGCGUGGGUUCCGCGCAUUAGCUGAACCUCCACGAUGGAAGACACCGGACAGAGAGUUUGCGGCUCCUGUUGCAACUAAAGGCGAAUCUCUCCCAAGAGUUCUUGCGUUGUUUUUAUUCCUUGCAGGUAAGUUGACACAGGUGAGUAAAAUGAACAGAGAGAGUCCCAUAGGUUGAUUCAGAGCAAUCCCCACCUAAUGGCACUUCUGGUUGUAUUGGCUGUGGGGGGCGGUUUAAAUUCCCGUCUUCUCUGUGCAUUUCAGGCUUUUAGCAAAAGCAACAGACACUCUAGAAAAUAACUUUUUGGUUGCUUCUAUUGGUUGCUGUGAACAGGAACUGCUACAGGAACAUUGGGGGUUGUGGUACCCAUGUGGAUAAUGGUAUGGAUGGCUAUCUGAUCUCCCUUCAGCUUUCAUGGGUUCAAUCCUGCUAAGCUGUGGCAGCAUUUCUCUGCUAAAUGCAGGAGAAAAAGCAUUAUAAAUGUUGCAUAUAGUCCAUAUAAACGUUCCUUAAAGCAUACCUGUCCACAAAGCAGUGAAAACAGAAGACAUUUUCCAGUGGCAGUAAAGAUGUCUCAAAGAAAUAGGGUGCCCUUUAGAUAAAACAAAUUAAUUUGUUAUAGUCAAGAAUACUUAGUUUGUUUCGCAGCCUACAAACUUACUUGCUGGCUGUGAUACUAUCUAUUGGCAUUUUAUAUAACUCUUUCCAUUUCUAAGGAUUUGGUUUU